AACCAUUCUCACCUGCGGCUAGACCUGCGGAAGGAUCAUUAUUGAAUAAAUCUGACAUGGUUGUAGCUGGCUCUUAGGAGCAUGUGCACACCUGUCACCUUUAUCUUUCCACCUGUGAACCCUUUGUAGUCCCAGGAUAACCUCUCGCGCACUCUGGUGUUGCGGAUGCGAAGGUUGUUGUGCCUCUGGCCAGCUCCCAUCGAAUUUCCUGGGUCUAUGUUUCUUAUACACCCCUGUAUG
rnacentral:misc_RNA from 1 species